UGGCGGCGUGCCUAUACAUGCAGUCGAGCGGACCGACGGGAGCUUGCUCCCUUAGGUCAGCGGCGGACGGGUGAGUAACACGUGGGUAACCUGCCUGUAAGACUGGGAUAACUCCGGGAAACCGGGGCUAAUACCGGAUGCUUGAUUGAACCGCAUGGUUCAAUCAUAAAAGGNGGCUUUYAGCUACCACUUACAGAUGGACCCGCGGCGCAUUAGCUAGUUGGUGAGGUAACGGCUCACCAAGGCGACGAUGCGUAGCCGACCUGAGAGGGUGAUCGGCCACACUGGGACUGAGACACGGCCCAGACUCCUACGGGAGGCAGCAGUAGGGAAUCUUCCGCAAUGGACGAAAGUCUGACGGAGCAACGCCSCGUGAGUGAUGAAGGUUUUCGGAUCGUAAAACUCUGUUGUUAGGGAAGAACAAGUACCGUUCGAAUAGGGCGGNACCUUGACGGUACCUAACCAGAAAGCCACGGCUAACUACGUGCCAGCAGCCGCGGUAAUACGUAGGUGGCAAGCGUUGUCCGGAAUUAUUGGGCGUAAAGCGCGCGCAGGCGGUUUCUUAAGUCUGAUGUGAAAGCCCCCGGCUCAACCGGGGAGGGUCAUUGGAAACUGGGGAACUUUGAGUGCAGAAGAGGAGAGUGGAAUUCCNCGUGUAGCGGUGAAAUGCGUNAGAUGUGGAGGACACCAGUGGCGAAGGCGACUCUCUGGUNUGUAACUGACGCUGAGCGCGAAGCGUG
rnacentral:rRNA from 1 species